ACCUACGGGGGGCAGCAGUGAGGAAUAUUGGUCAAUGGUCGGGGGACUGAACCAGCCAAGCCGCGUGAGGGAUGAAGGUACAGAGUAUCAUAAACCUCUUUUGUCAGGGAACAAAGGCGGGGACGUGUCCCCGGAUGAGUGUACCUGAAGAAAAAGCAUCGGCUAACUCCGUGCCAGCAGCCGCGGUAAUACGGAGGAUGCGAGCGUUAUCCGGAUUUAUUGGGUUUAAAGGGUGCGCAGGCGGUCUGUUAAGUCAGCGGUCAAAGCCCGGGGCUCAACCCCGGCCCGCCGUUGAAACUGGCAGU
rnacentral:rRNA from 1 species